rnacentral:misc_RNA from 1 species
GCUGGGUUGCUCUGGUUCAUUCUCUGAUAAAUGGGGGAAAGAUCAGCUCAAUUCAAUAUCAACACAAACUGCUUCUUAUUAUCUGUGUUUGUUUUUUAUUCUUUCUUUUUUUUGAGUAGGUGGGUGGGGGGUAUGCAUCCUUUGGGGCAUGUAGGAACAUUUUACCAAAGUAACUGAUGACAGUACCCUGUUCUAUUUUGAAUGUUAAAAUUUUAACAGACUUGCAAAUAAGUUGUUUAAAUGAAGCCUAAGUUGAUAAGUUGGAUCAAGAAAGGAAAUCAAUACCAUGAAGCACAGUUCUGAAACCUAACUACUAACUAUUCUAUUUUAAGCCUUUAAAACCUGUUUUCAAACAUCAUUAUCACAUGAAACCCCAAGGAAUUGCAAUAAAGAAGAGCAAACUUUGCAACUAUAUAUUUUGCACUAAGAUGAUGAGAAGAAAGAAUUAAAGAAAAACAGACUCCACAAUGUUUAAGUUCAAAUAACAGAAUUCGAGAAUCACA